rnacentral:rRNA from 1 species
GAUGAACGCUGGCGGCGUGCCUAAUACAUGCAAGUAGAACGCUGAAGGAAGGAGCUUGCUCUUUCCGGAUGAGUUGCGAACGGGUGAGUAACGCGUAGGUAACCUGCCUGGUAGCGGGGGAUAACUAUUGGAAACGAUAGCUAAUACCGCAUAACAGUAGAUGUUGCAUGACAACUAUUUGAAAGGGGCAAUUGCUCCACUACCAGAUGGACCUGCGUUGUAUUAGCUAGUUGGUGAGGUAACGGCUCACCAAGGCGACGAUACAUAGCCGACCUGAGAGGGUGAUCGGCCAAACUGGGACUGAGACACGGCCCAGACUCCUACGGGAGGCAGCAGUAGGGAAUCUUCGGCAAUGGACGGAAGUCUGACCGAGCAACGCCGCGUGAGUGAAGAAGGUUUUCGGAUCGUAAAGCUCUGUUGUAAGAGAAGAACGAGUGUGAGAGUGGAAAGUUCACACUGUGACGGUAUCUUACCAGAAAGGGACGGCUAACUACGUG